ACGGAAGGCAGCAGCUAAGAAUAUUCCGCAAUGGACGAAAGUCUGACGGAGCGACGCCGCGUGGAUGAUGAAGGCCGGAAGGUUGUAAAAUCCUUUUAUGACUGAGGAAUAAGUGGAGUGAGAGAAACGCUUCAUGGUGACUGUAGGUCAUGAAUAAGCAACGGCUAAUUACGUGCCAGCAGCCGCGGUAACACGUAAGUUGCGAGCGUUGUUCGGAAUUAUUGGGCGUAAAGGGCAUGUAGGCGGUUUUGCAAGCUUGAUGUGAAAGGCAGGAGCUUAACUCCUGGACUGCGUUGAGAACUGCAUGACUAGAGUCACUGAGGGGCAAUCAGAAUUCCUGGUGUAGGGGUGAAAUCUGUAGAUAUCAGGAAGAAUACCAAUGGCGAAGGCAGGUUACCAGCAGAUGACUGACGCUGAGGUGCGAAGGUGCGGGGAGCAAACAGGAUUAGAUACCCUGGUA
rnacentral:rRNA from 1 species